CACUGAGUCAGGCCUCUGGGAAGUGAAGGCAUCAUGAGCUCAGGGAGAAGAAAGUUCUCAUCGUUUCCAGGUGUGGCCUGGAGACGCUGCUUUUCUCUUGGCCACCGCGACCUCUGCUUUGAGGACUUUUCCAAAGCUGCUCUACUGAGGACCUUUAUUUCCCUGGCAAAUGUUCUCAAAAAUGAGUUUGUUAAGGAAGACACCUGAAUUUGAGAAGCAGUGGGACAAGUGUCCCCAAAGCCCCGCCUGACUUCUCUCCUGGCCCAGCCCUGGUCUCUAAGCUCUGAAGGGCUGAAAAACAGACAUUUUCUCAGAUCACUGCAAAUCUCUGGAAAACCAGAUCCAGGACUGGAGAAAGUAAAGAAGAGUUCCUAUGAGGAAGGAGGCUGAUACAAACAGCAACUACAGAAAAUGACUUGCCCUGGACCCUGCAGUGGGUGCAUGCCUCCACCGCAUGCUGUGUCCUUCGGAAGAAAUCCAGGAAGCCUGAGGCCAGAGCGCAGAAUGUACCUGUAUGAUUCUGCAAAUCCCACACAUCCUAUGGGCAGUUGCUCCAUUACAUUCUACAGCACAGAAGAGUCUCCCAAUUCCUCAUGGCAGCCAGGCCUUGAACAGCCUGUGGGUGGCUUUUGUUUGGGCCAUGGGCUCUUUGAAAAGAUGACUCAGUCAGGUCUGCUGUCUGACCUUCUGGCGCCUCUCGAUUUCAGCAUCGCCUCCUCUGGGGACCUGCUUCACCUCCAGCACAGGCCAGGCUGCCUUAUACCCACAGCACCCCUGUCUCUCCGUGGUGUCGCCGCCUCUGUAAAGGUUGGGUUAGCUGUGUAGUCGUUUGCCGAGAUUUUGUCUCCCACCAGCGAUGCGAGGCCCCAGAGAAAGGGGUUGGAGCCUCUUUUGUUGUCUGUGAGCUGCCCAGCACGGGGCCUGGAACACUGUCGGCGCUCCAUAAGUAUUUGUGGAAUGAAAGAUGGACAAGAGACAACUCCCGACAGAGAUAGGGAAUCGCAGGGUGGAGGGACAUCGUGGAGCCGGGUGACAGGGGAGAGGCCGGUUUGUGAAGGUGACACGUCUGACUCAGCCCCGGUCCAGGAGGGGACCAGUUAGUCAGGCCUUCGCAGGUGCCGAUGCCCCAGAAACACAAGGACACUGAACACACCACAGAGCGACCUUUUAAGGUCAAGGCUACCACUUCAGACACUCCCCACGGGGCUUUGCAGAUACUGCUUUUCGCUUCUCUGUCUCCAAACCCCAAGAGGUUGUGAAGGCGUGGCCCAUAGCACCCGGAGGUUUCUGCUCUCAUGGGUGCAGCUCUGCCCUCUCUCCCUCCCUCCGCUGGUGUCUGUUUUAGACCUUGGUGGAAUUUAGCACCCAAACUCCCUGGGCUCCAUCACUGUUAGGGCUCUGUCAAUUCCCAGUGCUUAGAAAUUAACACUGUAUCCCACCCCUCCCCCACCCAAACCCCAUCCAUGGGGAAAACUUUUGGGGUGUCAGGCCAGUGGAGAUUUGAUUUAUUUAUUUUGCAUAUUUACUUCCAGUUUUAUUUUUUUUUAUUAUUAUUUUUUUUUUUGCGAUACGUGGGCCUCUCACUGCUGUGGCCUCUCCCAUUGCAGAGCACAGGCUCCAGACGCGCAGGCUCAGCGGCUCACAGGCCCAGCCGCUCUGUGACAUGUGGGAUCCUCCCGGACUGGGGCAUGAACCCAUGUCCCCUACAUCGGCCGGCGGACUCUCAACCACUGCGCCACCAGGGGAGCCCCAGUUUUAUUUUUUAAUGAAAAUUACUUAAAAACUUACACAUGCUCAUUAUAAGGAAUAUAGACACUAUAGCAAAUACAACAAUAAAUGUUUUAAAAGCUCCCCAAAUCCUACUAUCUAAAAAUUAUUACUGCUAAUAUUAGGAAAAUAUUAUUAGAUACAUUUUUCUUUGCAUUUACAGAGAGGAGGAUGGACGAACAGGUGAAAAAUGAUAUCUCAGUAUAAUUUUAAUUUGUAUUUCUCUUAUUAGGAGAGAAGUACAGAAUCCUCUCAUAUGUUUAAAAGUCAUCUAUACUUCAAUACCUGUGUUUUAUUUAUAUUUCUUGCCCAAUUUUCUAUUGGGGUUGUUGACUUCUUAUUUAUUUGUAGUAGAUCUUUUUAUACUACAUAAAAGAUCUUUAUAUAAGGUAAAUUAGCUCUUUGUUAUGGAUUCAUUUAAUAAUGUGCUGGAUUUAACUUUUAGUGAGUGGAUUCAUUUUUUUAAAUUAAUAUUUAUUGCAGCAUAGUUGCUUUACAAUGUUUGCGUUAAGUUUCUACUGUACAGCAAAGUGAAUCAGCAUAUAUCCCCUCUUUUUUGGAUUUCCUUCCCAUUUAGGUCAUCACAGAGCAUUGAGUAGAGUUCCCUGUGCUGCACAGUAGGUUCUCAUUAGUCAUCUAUUUUAUACAUAGUAUCAAUAGUGUACCUACAUCAAUCCCAAUCUCCCAUUUCAUCCCACCACCCUUCCUCCCUAGAAGAUUUUAAAAGUUCCCUGAAGGAUACAGGAUGGCUGUAGGGUCCCGGAUGUGUGGUGGAUGCUCUGCAGUAUUGGGUUUUAACACUGAUGGCUGCCACCAUCAGCCCGGCACUGGAAGGCUGACCCCAAUUCCCUGUGCCCACUCCCUUCUCCCACCACUGCCAGCCUUCUGAGAGGUGCAGAGGCAGACCCCUUGGCCUCCCCAGAGACUGUCCCUGAACCAUCCAUUCCCCUUCCGUCGGAUAGAAGGAGAAACUCAAAUCUAGAGGUGGGACCGUGGGGGCAGGUGGGAGGGGUUGGGUAACCUUCUCAGAAAACCUCUGGCCGCCUACCCACAGGAGAUGCAAAAUAACAACCAAUCCAGAAGGUUUCUAUCGUAUUCAUAGCCCACGCUUCCUUCCCCAGUGCCAGGUACUCUGCUCACUGCUCUUACGAAGGGAAGCUAAGCAGAACAUUCUUAUGGGGACCUACAACUGUCUCAUUUACAAAGGAAGAAGCUCUACCUGUCAGAGGGACAGGGCUGUCCUUGCCCGCCUCCCCCCUUUCUUCUGGGGAUGCUUAGAGCAGUAGAUCUCUUAUCCUCUAAUGGACUCCAAAAUGUAAUUCUUUUUUUUUUUUUUUUUUUUUUUGGCGGUACGCGGGCCUCUCACUGUUGUGGCCUCUCCUGUUGAGGAGCACAGGCUCCGGACGCGCAGGCUCAGCGGCCAUGGCUCAUGGGCCCAGCCGCUCCGCAGCAUGUGGGAUCUUCCUGGACUGGGGCACGAACUCGUGUUCCCUGCAUCGGCAGGCGGACUCUCAACCACUGAGUCACCAGGGAAGCCCAAAAUGUAAUUCUUUUUAAAAAUCAAUUUAUCAAUUUUAAAAUUGAGGUGUUAAUUGACAUACAUUACAUUAGUUUCAAGAGUACAACAUAAUGAUUUCAUGUUUGUAUGUAUUGCAAACUGAUCACCACAAUAAGUCCAGUUAACAUCUGUCACCACAGUUACAGAAUUAUUUUUUUUCUUAUGAUGAGAACUUUUAAGAUCUACUCUCUUAGCAACUUCCAAAUGUGCAAUACGAUAUUAUUAUUAUUUUUUUUAAUUAAUUAAUUAAUUUAUUGGCUGCAUUGGGUCUUCGUUGCUGUGCACAGGCUUUCUCUAGUUGCGGCGAGCAGGGGCUACUCUUUUUUUGUGGUGCGCGGGCUUCUCAUUGCGGUGGCUUCUCUGGUUGCAGAGCACGGGCUCUAGGCACGCGGGCUCAGUAGUUGUGGCAUGUGGGCUCAGUAGUUGUGGCUCACAGGCUCUAGAGCACAGGCUCAGUAGUUGUGGCGCACAGGCUUAGUUGUUCUGCGGUAUGUGGGAUCUUCCUGGAUCAGGGCUUGAACCCGUGUCCCCUGCACUGGCAGUCAGAUUCUUAACCACUGCACCACCAGGGAAGUCCCAAUACGAUAUUAAUAACUAUAGUCCUCAUGCUGUACACUACAUCCCUGAGACUUAUUUUUUUUUAUAACUGGAAAUUUUGACUCCCUUCACCCAUUUUUCCUGCCCCCCCCCACCUCUGUCAACCAUCAAUCUGUUUUCACAUGUAUGAACUUGGUGUUUUGACUUUGUUUUUGUUUUUAAGAUUCCACAUAGAGGGACGUCCCUGGCGGUCUGGUGGUUAAGACUCCUCGCUUCCAAUGCAGGGGGUGCAGGUUCAAUCCCUGGCUGGGGAACUAAGAUCCCACACACCACUCAGCCCCCAAAAAAGAUUCCACAUAUAAGUGAGAUCGUAUGGUAUUUUUCUCUCUCUGUCUGACUCAUUUCUAGCAUAAUGCCUUGUGUGUUGUUGCAUGUGGCAAGAUUUCAUUCUUUUUCAUGGUGGGAUAGUAUUCCAUUUACUUACCCACUUAUUUGUCCCUUCAUAUAUCUAUUUAAUCACGCAGUAAAUGAGCAUCUGCUUGGUGACGAGAUACCAAGGGCACCAAAGGGCAGAGAUUCUCAAAGUUUCGGUCUAAGGACCUCUUUACAUUGGAAAAAAUUACUGAAAUUCUCAGAAAGCUUUUGAUUAUGUGGGUUAGCAACAGUUACUGUAUCAGAAAUUACUGAGACAUUUAAAACAUUUAUUUGAAAGUAACAAUAAUACACACCCAUGACAUAUUAACCUAAAAACAUAUUUUAUGAAAAAAGUAACCAUAUUUUCUAAAAUUAAAAAAAUAUGUAGUGAGAACAGUGGUUGGGAUUUGUCUGUUGGUUUGUUUUUACAUGUUACAGCUCCCUUUAAUGCCUGGCGUAAUAGAAGGCAACUGGGUUCUCCUGCCUGCUUCCGCCUCCAAUCUGUUGUGAUAGUACACAUCACGUAGCCUCUGGAAAAUUCCACCGAACCGAGGGAAAGAGGCAAAUGACAUGCUGUUAUGAAAUAGUUGUGCUCUCAUGACCCUCUGAAACAGUCUUAUGGACUCCAGUGCCACGAGGACACACCAGCCAAGGGCAGUAGGACCAGACAGGGCUGGGGGUCACCAAGCAGCCUAUAGCGGCCCUGUAGGCAUGGCAGCCCUCUUCUCCCUCUCCCUUGACCUCCUCCUUUUGUUUCCUUCCAUCUCUUCCCGUAUUCCUCUCCAAACUUCCCCUGCCUGUUCCCUUGCUUGGCUAGGUAACUCCCUCUGGAAGCUCAGCGUCUCCGCUCACCUUAGGCUUUUCAGACUCCGAAGCCUGUAGCCCUGCUUUUUAUUUGGUGUGUGGCCUUGGGCAAGUUAUGUAGCUUCUCUGACCCUCAUCCACUCCCUCUUCAAGGUGAGGAAACUAAGACCUGACGCACAGAAGCAUUCUGUAGAGUCAAGGAGAUUUUAUAGUUAUAACCAAUGUUAAUGAUGCGGCCUCUCUCUGCUGGCAAGUUCUGUAGGCAGGGAAUGGAACAGACACACGCUUAGGCCCUCAACGGUUCUACGUCUUAGAGAAGAGAUGCAUUUUCAUUCAUAAAACAAAUAAGUAUCGAGUACCUCCUAUAUGCCUGACACUGGAUAACAUAUGUAAAGCACCAGAGUUCAGAUUAUGAAAUCCUAUGCAGCAGUUUUUAAAAUGAGGUAUUAGAAUAUGGUUAGAACUUGAAGAUACAUUAUUAAGUAGAAAAUGCAAGUUGCAGAAUGAUAUAGGAAUAUGUAGUACCAUUUAUUUAUAAGCAUGCAAACAUAUCUAUUUUUUUCUCUUAAAUAUUUAAUGUUUUGGGGCUUCCCUGGCGGCGCAGUGGUUAAGAAUCCGCCUGCCAAUGCAGGGGACACGGGUUCGAGCCCUGGUCUGGGAAGAUCCCAAGUUGCCCUGGAGCAACUAAGCCCGUGCGCCAUAACUACUGAGCCUGCGCUCUAGAGUCCGUGAGCCACAACUACUGAGCCAGCGUGCCACAACUACUAAAGCCCGCAUGCCCUAGAGCCCAUGCUCCACAACAAGAGAAGCCACCGCAAUGAGAAGCCCAUGCACCUCAACGAAGAGUAGCCCCUGCUCGCUGCAACUAGAGAAAGCCCACGUGCAGCAACGAAGACCCAACGCAGCCAAAAAUAAAUAAAUAAAAUAAAUAAAUUUGUUUAAAAAAAAAUCUAAUGUUUAGCUAUUAAUUACAAAUCUAAUUUCCCUUAUAUAAAGAAAUCAUGUAUUUUUACCUGAUACAUCUAAACAUCAUUUGCAAGUAUAAAGACCUGAAAUAACUUAAAAUGAAUUUACAAAAUAUGUUAUUUAAAAUAUAUUAUUACAGGGGCUUCCCUGGUGGCGCAGUGGUUGAGAGUCCGCCUGCCGAUGCAGGGGACAGGGGUUCGUGCCCCGGUCUGGGGAGAUCCCACAUGCCGCGGAGCGGCUGGGCCCGUGAGACAUGGCCGCUGAGCCUGCGUGUCCGGAGCCUGUGCUCCGCAGUGGGAGAGGCCACAGCAGUGAGAGGCCCGCGUACCACAAAAAAAAAAAAAAAAAAAAAAAAAAAAAUAAUGACAUUGCUUGAUAUAGUACCUGGCACAGGUAUAUGAAAUAUAUACAGAAGAAGACAUGAAAAGGUAAUUUCCUCUUCCAGCCAUGAUGAAGCCUCGAAUACUGGCCUUGCCUUCCUGCUGUAAACAACUGGAAAAGUGAAUAAGAUAAUAGGAAACAAUUGUUUUCAGACACCAGACCACCAGCAUCACAGGACUGUGGUCCCUGGAAGAAGGGUGACGUGUGCCCUCUGAUCGCCCAGCCUUCCACCUGGAGCUCCUGUCUGGCCAGACCGGCUUCCUGGGCGUGUGACCUGUGCACUUACAAGUGUCGCAAUCUUGAAGGGCCUCGUGCUUGGGUUAAUGCUCUGCUGUGACUGUCCUGGAAUUCUUAACUUUUGGACAAGGGUCUGGAUUGUCAUUUUGCUCCGGACCUUGCAAAUUGCCAUGUGAUUCCCACCCUUAGGAGUGCACCUAAGAGGCGGGGACCCGUGCAGACAGAUGCAGCCUCAGCCGGGGCAGGGCCGGGAGCCGUGGCGCUGCCUCGGCCCCGCCCUGAGCUGCUGAGCAGCCUUCUGCAGCAGCGGGAGCAGCCCUAGGCCAGAGCUGCAGUGAGUCACUGAACAUGCUCUGCCUUGGUGGCCAUUCUUCAGCCACCGACUGGAUUUUGACGAACAAACCAAGAUAACGCAGGGUUUCUCGACCUCGAUGCUGUUGACAUUUUGGACCGGAUUGUGGGGGCGCCCUGUGCACUGUGGGAUGUUAAGCAGCAUCCUUGGCCUCCACCCGAGAGAUGCCAGGAGUGCCCACCCCUGAGCUGUGACAACCAGCAAUAUCUCCAGACUUUGCCAAAUGUCCCCUGGGGGAGAAAUCACCCUGUUGAGAGCAGUAGCUUUAAUCGAGAGCUCGGCCCCAGGCCUGGCUUUUUCCUGUCUCUUCGAGACCUAACAGACAUCUAAUCUCAGCCUUAUUAGUACAAAGAUACUGGAUCUUUCUAGCUAUACAUUCUGAGUAAUUCCACUCGAAAUGGAAGCAAGAUGUGUGUGUGUGUGUGUGUGUGUGUGUGUGUGAGUGAGUGUCAGGGGUGGGAAGAGCCUGGCACAUUGAUUCCAAGACUUUUCUGGAAGUCUUGAAUCAGGGAGAUGAGGCAGAUAUGGAAACAGGGCAAAAGCUACAGUCAUCAAAACACAGCUUGGGGGACUUCCCUGGUGGCCCAGUGGUUAAGACUCUGCGCUUCCACUGCAGGGGGCACGGGUUCGAUCCCUGCUUGGGGAACUAAGAUCCUGCAUGCCACACGGGGUGGCCAAAAAUAAAUAAAAUAUUUAAAAAAAAAACAACACAGGGACUUCCCUGGUGGCGCAGUGGUUAAGAAUCCACCUGCCAAUGCAGGGGACACGGGUUCGAGCCCUGGUCCGGGAAGAUCCCACAUGCCACGGAGCAACUAGCCCGCGAGCCACAACUACUGAGCCCGUGUGCCACAACUACUGAAGCCCGCGUGCCUAGAGCCCGUGCUCCGCAACAAGAGAAGCCUGCGCACCGCAACAAAGAGUAGCCCCCGCUCGCCGCAACUAGAGAAAGCCUGCAUGCAGCAAUGAAGACCCAAUGCAGCCAAAAAUAAAAAAAAAACAAACAAAAAAUCCCACAGCUCAGCACUGGCAUAGGAAUAAACUAUUAAAGAAGGCAGAUGGGAGGGCAGAAAAAUACACAUGGACAGAGGUCAACUUGUACGAUUAAAGGGACGUUUCAGUCUGCCCAUCUGCACUGUUAGGGCCAUCGGCUAUCAUCUCUCCAUUUGGGAAGAAUAAAAAUUAUGUCUAUCUACCUUAGACCAUGAAUACAUCUCCCUUCCCACUUACCCCCCCAUACCAGCUGCAUUAAAGAUCGAAACAUUAACAAGAAUGUAUGAAAAUCAUUGAAAAAUAUCGUUCCAGUUUUAGUACAUGUGCUGCCGAGGCGAGGACUGAAAAAAUAUUGAAGAAAACGUACCUUGAUAGAAAAAUGGGCAAGUAGCACACAUGGUUUGCAGAAGUCACACAUAUGACCAGCGAAUAUUUGAAAACAUGCAAAUCAAAUGUACCCUUUUUCUUUUGAGCUAAUAGCCGAUCGCCAAAAGUUAGGGAUCGGUAAAAUCACCUCUUUCCGCUUUGUAAUUGGGAGGAAAUGGACACGUUCUCUACACUGCUAAUGGAGAUCGUGCUGCUCUCCUAGGCUCUGGUGCCCAAAUCCCACUUCUAGGCAUCACACCUGGAAAAGGUACGUCUGCGUUUCUGCAGGCUCUCAAAGUCUCUCGUAGACUCACCCUGGCAAGCCCGAGGCCUUAAAGAGCCUGCGGCCGUGUUUUGUUUGUCCCACAGGCUAUUUUAAAAGACAACUUGACUCAACUUGUUAGGAUGUGAGUUUAGUCUUCAGCAGACAGGUUAGUACGUAGUGUCGUCUUUACCCAUUUCUGCCACCUCCCUGGCUCUGAAGGGCAAGUUACUAAAGCACUGCGUUCCUGGGUUCCUGCACAUGCAGAGUGGAAAGAGUAAUAGUUCCCCUUCAUGGGGUUCCUGCAGGAUUAAAUGAGAUAAUACAUGCAAAGGCCCUGGAAGAGUAAGCCACACGUGGUAAGUGUCAAAGCAGGUCAGCUAGGAUGCAUAGGAAAAAGGCAAGUAAAAGCAAAAAAUUCUAAUGUGACAGCUAUCAUAAACGGUAAACUUAAAACCAGCAAAAGAGAAAAAAAAAAAAAGGAAGGAAGGAAGAAGAAAAA